GUUUACUGUCUAAGAUAGGCUAAAUACUAGAGCUUUGGCUAAAGUCAUGGAGCAGCGUUACCGGAGGAAAGCGGGUACGAAAGUACAACUUCUGAAUGGAAAAAGUGUCCUGGUCAACAUCACAGACUGCACCGUCCAACCUGAGUCUCAUCCCUACCCCAGGAAACUAAACUUCAACUUCUGAAUGCAAAAAGGGUCCUGGUCAUCCUCACUGACAGCAUCGUCCCACCGCAAGAGUUUCCUAGUGAACCUCACCGACCUGCCAGGCAUAAAACGACUGACGCCGUUGACCACAGACGAGAAUGCGUCCUCAAAGGUCUUUGUGUAUAUAUGAACGAAGAUCCAGAGAAGCUGGUGAGGAAUACACGAAUAUCGGCAAUGAAACCGGCCAUGGCAGAGACGGUCUUUGGAAUCUUUGUCAUUAGAAACGAAGGUGCAGAGCCCAGUGAUGACCCCCAGGAUGUUGGAAUCAUUCUGGAGGGGUGGAAGUGCUAGAUGAGUUGGGAAAUGUACCUUUUGCAGUGUCAAUGUCGCUUGCUCUUGUGUAUGCUCUUGUGUAUGCUCUCAACCUGAGCGACCCACAAGAGCUCAAGUACACCUUCGAAGCUCUGCAGAAGAUCAUGAUUGAACGAGAUUGAAACAAACUAUCCAUAAAAAGGACACGCUCUCAAAACAAAGCUUUUCUGUUAAUUUGAGACUGCCUACUGAUGGCUAAAGAAGGUUGGUAGGAAACGUCUGUGUUUCUUUGUUGUUUUCUGUAUUCCUGUAAGUUCGUAAUUGCAAAUGUUUUAAGAAGACUGUUUGAAUUGUUUUCAGAGGAAUGUGUGUACAAAGACAUUGUCUUUAUUGUUCAAGGUCUAGACUUUUUCUUAGACUGCUUGUUUUUUUCAAAUAUAUUAAAGUGCCAAAUAUAUUAAAGUGCCAAGAUCCACUAUGUUGGCACUUUUAAAAAUA